GAUGAACGCUGGCGGCGUGCCUAAUACAUGCAAGUCGAGCGAACAGACGAGGAGCUUGCUGCUCUGACGUUAGCGGCGGACGGGUGAGUAACACGUGGAUAACCUACCUAUAAGACUGGGAUAACUUCGGGAAACCGGAGCUAAUACCGGAUAAUAUCUUGAACCGCAUGGUUCAAAAGUGAAAGACGGUGUUGCUGUCACUUAUAGAUGGAUCCGCGCUGCAUUAGCUAGUUGGUAAGGUAACGGCUUACCAAGGCAACGAUGCGUAGCCGACCUGAGAGGGUGAUCGGCCACACUGGAACUGAGACACGGUCCAGACUCCUACGGGAGGCAGCAGUAGGGAAUCUUCCGCAAUGGGCGAAAGCCUGACGGAGCAACGCCGCGUGAGUGAUGAAGGUCUUCGGAUCGUAAAACUCUGUUAUUAGGGAAGAACAAAUGUGUAAGUAACUGUGCACAUCUUGACGGUACCUAAUCAGAAAGCCACGGCUAACUACGUG
rnacentral:rRNA from 1 species